CAGCCGCCGCGGGAAAACGUAGGUGGCAAGCGUUGUCCGGAGUUAUUGGGCGUAAAGCGCGCGCAGGCGGAUAGGUCAGUCUGUCUUAAAAGUUCGGGGCUUAACCCCGUGAUGGGAUGGAAACUGCCAAUCUAGAGUAUCGGAGAGGAAAGUGGAAUUCCUAGUGUAGCGGUGAAAUGCGUAGAUAUUAGGAAGAACACCAGUGGCGAAGGCGACUUUCUGGACGAAAACUGACGCUGAGACGCGAAAGCCAGGGGAGCGAACGGGAUUAGAUACCCCGGUAGUCCCUGUCUCUUAUACA
rnacentral:rRNA from 1 species